UACUAAACUUCAGCUAUACACAACAGAAUCGCGACAGUUUCUCAGGUUUUUUUCCGUUUCUCUGUAGUGAUGAAUAGAAUGGUGUGUAGUUAUAUGGUGUAGAAUUACUGUAUCAACUUCCUACGUGUGGUUAUACGAGCGUUCAACCCUUCUAGUCAUGGCUCGUGUGGUUAUACGAGCGUUCAAACCUUCAAGUCAUCACUUGCUUGUGUGAACGAGCGUUCAAACCUUCAAGUCAUCACUUGCUUGUGUGGUUAUACGAGCGUUCAAACCUUCAAGUCAUCGCGCUCAUGAGGUUGUCGUUGGUUUGAUCAUCUCGAUAUGAAGCCGAUGAGCUCUCUUGUUGUAUACUUAGUUUGUAUGUUGUGUUUGAGAAAUAUGUAUGUAUAUAUAUAAAGAUUUUGUUUGUCCAA
rnacentral:lncRNA from 1 species